rnacentral:rRNA from 1 species
AUACGGAGGGCACGAGCGUUGUUCGGAAUUAUUGGGCGUAAAGCGCGUGUAGGCGGCUGGGUAAGUCGGAUGUGAAAGCCCGGGGCUCAACCCCGGAAUUGCACUCGAAACUGCCUAGCUAGAGUCUCGGAGAGGAGGGCGGAAUUCCCGGUGUAGAGGUGAAAUUCGUAGAUAUCGGGAGGAACACCAGUGGCGAAGGCGGCCCUCUGGACGAUGACUGACGCUGAGACGCAAAAGCGUGGGGAGCAAACAGGAUUAGAUACCCCGGUAGUCC